rnacentral:misc_RNA from 1 species
CUUCCUUUUCCUUUCACAGCAGCAAUACUUUUCUUCUUCUCUCUUGAUUCUGUUUUCUUCCCCUCAAACCCAAACCACCACCAGCUACCAUUCUUAGCUGCUAGAAACCUCUGACCUUACAAGGGUGCUGUGGUGACAACUCCCCAAUAUUUGAUUCUCCCUUAUCUCUCUCUUUUUUAGUAAUUUCACUUUUUUCAUUUUUUAUUUCUG